UACGAAGGGGGCUAGCGUUGUUCGGAAUUACUGGGCGUAAAGCGCACGUAGGCGGGCUAUUAAGUCAGGGGUGAAAUCCCGGGGCUCAACCCCGGAACUGCCUUUGAUACUGGUAGUCUCGAGUCCGGAAGAGGUGAGUGGAAUUCCGAGUGUAGAGGUGAAAUUCGUAGAUAUCGGGAGGAACACCGGUGGCGAAGGCGGGUCUCUGGACAGUUCCUGACACUGAGGCACGAAGGCCAGGGGAGCAAACGGG
rnacentral:rRNA from 1 species